CGAGCACGUCUGCAACCGCGACAGCUCCGCGCGCUACGAAGAAACGCCGCAAUCGACGCUACUGUUGCGUUGUAAAUUGCCAUGAACGUGAAGGACUGGAUAACAACGUUCAGUUUUACCGAUUUCCAUCGCGGUCGUAUGAAGGAGAGAGGCGAGAGCGCUGGAUACGGGCCGUUCAACGUGUUGGCCCCGACGGAGGACUAUGGCAACCAAGCGAAAACUCAAGAAUCUGUAGCCGCCACUUCGUUGGCAACAGAAAAAGCAACGUUGCGAACCAUCCUGCGUAUGUGCCAUCGAUAUUUCCAUCUGUGUACAGACGUCCGCCUCCGCUUGACUCAGCAAGUGGAACGGAGAGAUUUGGCAGAUGGCAGAAAAGACACCAGGCAGAUGCUGCAGCUACAACUGGGCAAAGUACAGAUAUCUCAACUUCUGCCGAGUGCACAAGCGGCACUGUACCAAGCUCUUGUGCAGCCCAAGAGCAUGCUGAAGCUGAAAUGCUAAAUAUUCACAGCAUCGAAACAGAAGUUCCCCUUGUCAUUGAAGGAGGUAUUGCUGAUUCUGUGCUUUCCCCUCAAAGACUUGAGGUUGUUCCUGCAGAAUGUGCAAGUGAAACUGCCGUCAAUCAGCAGCAUAUUGUACGGACUGUUGCAGUUGGCCCCAGCACCAGAACAUGCUUUUUUGCUGGCUUCCACAGCAUCAUGGGCAGCCCAGAUGCACUAAGAAGUCUUUGUGGUGUUGA